rfam:Shewanella frigidimarina NCIMB 400, complete genome.
UCAGUCACUUUAAUUCGUUCCUUGCCUCCACAUUGGUCUGACUGAGCCAGAAAAGAGGCUACUUAACCGUAAGGAGCAAUAAAUG